UUCAGGAUGAAUUGAGAGGUAGAAAGCUUCUGACAACAGGAUGUCUGCCUAUUUGAUCUGCUCUCCAUCAGUCUAGGAACUGAUGCUUCGUUUCGAGGGUUUCUCCAUUUCUCCGUGUAACAGCCCUUGACUGUCCUGGACUAUGACUCUCAGAGAUCUGACUACCUCUGCCUCCUGAGUGCUGGGAUCAAAGGCAUGCACCCCCACGCUCUGCCUCUAAGACGUUUUCGAUGGUUCCAUUAUCAGCAUCAAUCUAUACAGAGAUCAUGUCUUACACGAUUAUUUCUUCACAGGAUGGCUGGCCUCAUCCAUUUAAGAUGGAUUCUUGUUAGUUUCCAUUCAUCCAAUUUUAUUAUUAUCAUUAUCAUUAUUAUUAUUGCCUCCUGUACUGGUUAGUUUUUGUUACCUAAUGGUGCUCCUGCUGUAUGUGUUUGUUUCCUCACCCUCAAUAAAGGCUGCUGAUCCUGUCUGC
rnacentral:lncRNA from 1 species